rnacentral:rRNA from 1 species
UGGGGAAUAUUGCACAAUGGGCGCAAGCCUGAUGCAGCCAUGCCGCGUGUAUGAAGAAGGCCUUCGGGUUGUAAAGUACUUUCAGCGGGGAGGAAGGCGGUGAGGUUAAUAACCUCAUCGAUUGACGUUACCCGCAGAAGAAGCACCGGCUAACUCCGUGCCAGCAGCCGCGGUAAUACGGAGGGUGCAAGCGUUAAUCGGAAUUACUGGGCGUAAAGCGCACGCAGGCGGUCUGUCAAGUCGGAUGUGAAAUCCCCGGGCUUAACCUGGGAACUGCAUUCGA